GAAGGAAGUAUCUUAGGCAAUUUUUUCAGAGUUUAUUUUUUUGGGCUGAUCUGGGGAUCAGCAGGAUUGGACCUUAGCAUCAGCAACCUUGAGCAGACUGCAAUGGCUCUGCCUUUAAUACACUUCCACCUCAGUGUGUUAUACAGCCGUAAUACUGAACACACGAGGCAGACAGCUGCCCUGAGGCAUUCUCCGUAAAAACUUUCAUAUCACAACGGAACUGAACGUACCAUUAUAGCACCACGUCUCCUCUUCUUCACGAAAGAAGCAGGUGCUGUCUCUUCUGUGAAGGUCCUGCAUACCAUUCCCCUCCAGCAAAGCUCUGAGGUUCAGUUUCUCAAAGACAUGGAAAUCCAGAAAAAAAAUUCAGCUUCCUAAGGCCAAAAUUUGCUGUCUGAAAACACUACUCAGCUAGGUGUGGGCUUCCAUAAAACUGUACCUUACCACAGGAUUGUCCUGACAUGGAGUCUGCUCUGCCAGGUGUGCCCAGAUAUCUUCACUUACGGUCUUUAUCUCAAGGGCGGUCCUAGAGAAGGGUACUGCCGAUGACAGCCACCCAGUCUGUUAAGGCAGUCUGGAGUCUGCUUGUUUACUCUCCGCAGUCACCUGUCAAUCUGACUACAGAAAAGUUGGAGCUGUUGAAGGAGUUUGUGUCCUUUGGAACUACUGGCAGCUGGGAUUCUCUGAGGAAACAUGAUGGGUCAGGG